rnacentral:rRNA from 1 species
GAUGAACGCUGGCGGCGUGCCUAAUACAUGCAAGUCGAGCGAACAGACGAGGAGCUUGCUCCUCUGACGUUAGCGGCGGACGGGUGAGUAACACGUGGAUAACCUACCUAUAAGACUGGGAUAACUUCGGGAAACCGGAGCUAAUACCGGAUAAUAUAUUGAACCGCAUGGUUCAAUAGUGAAAGACGGUUUUGCUGUCACUUAUAGAUGGAUCCGCGCUGCAUUAGCUAGUUGGUAAGGUAAAGGCUUACCAAGGCAACGAUGCGUAGCCGACCUGAGAGGGUGAUCGGCCACACUGGAACUGAGACACGGUCCAGACUCCUACGGGAGGCAGCAGUAGGGAAUCUUCCGCAAUGGGCGAAAGCUUGACGGAGCAACGCCGCGUGAGUGAUGAAGGUCUUCGGAUCGUAAAACUCUGUUAUUAGGGAAGAACAAAUGUGUAAGUAACUAUGCACGUCUUGACGGUACCUAAUCAGAAAGCCACGGCUAACUACGUG